rnacentral:rRNA from 1 species
GACGAACGCUGGCGGCGUGCUUAACACAUGCAAGUGGUGCGACGAACCAGGCUUCGGCCUGGGGCGAAGCCGCGAACGGGUGAGUAACACGUGGGCAAUCUGCCCCUUUGAUCGGGACAACCCGGGGAAACCCGGGCUAAUACCGAAUGAGGUGGCGACUCAUGAGAGUCGUCACGAAGGGAAGCUUCGGCCUCCGCGAAGGGAUGAGCCCGCGGCCCAUUAGCUUGUUGGUGGGGUAAUGGCCUACCAAGGCAACGAUGGGUAGCUGGUCUGAGAGGACGCUCAGCCACACUGGGACUGAGACACGGCCAGACUCCUACGGGAGGCUGCAGUGGGGAAUCUUGCGCAAUGAGCGACAGCUUGACGCAGCAACGCCGCGUGAGGGAAGAAGGCUUUCGGGUCGUAAACCUCUUUCAGUUAGGACGAAGCUUUAUUGGUUAAUAACCAAUUGGAGUGACGGUACUUUCAGAAGAAGCCCCGGCUAACUACGUGCCAGCCGCCGCGGUAA